GACGAACGCUGGCGGCGUGCUUAACACAUGCAAGUCGAACGGAAAGGCCCUUCUUUUUUGGGGUGCUCGAGUGGCGAACGGGUGAUUAACACGUGAGUAACCUGCCCUUGACUUUGGCAUAACUUCAGGUAACUUGGUCUAAUACCGGAUAUGAGCUCCUGCUGCAUGGUGGGGGUUGGAUAGUUUCGGCGGUUGGGGAUGGACUCGCGGCUUAUCAGCUUGUUGGUGGGGUAGUGGCUUACCAAGGCUUUGACGGGUAGCCGGCCUGAGAGGGUGACCGGCCACAUUGGGACUGAGAGACGGACCAGACGCCUACGGGAGGCAGCAGUGGGGAAUAUUGCACAAUGGGCGGAAGCCUGAUGCAGCAACGCCGCGUGCGGGAUGACGGCCUUCGGGUUGUAAACCGCUUUCGCCUGUGACGAAGCGUGAGUGACGGUAAUGGGUAAAGAAGCACCGGCUAACUACGUG
rnacentral:rRNA from 1 species